ACGGGUGAGUAACACGUGGGCAACCUGCCCUUGAGACUGGGAUAACUUCGGGAAACCGGAGCUAAUACCGGAUAAUACAAGGAACCUCCUGGUUCCUUGUUGAAAGAUGGUUUCGGCUAUCGCUUAAGGAUGGGCCCGCGGCGCAUUAGCUAGUUGGUGAGGUAACGGCUCACCAAGGCGACGAUGCGUAGCCGACCUGAGAGGGUGAUCGGCCACACUGGGACUGAGACACGGCCCAGACUCCUACGGGAGGCAGCGGUAGGGAAUCUUCCACAAUGGACGAAAGUCUGAUGGAGCAACGCCGCGUGAGUGAUGAAGGCCUUCGGGUCGUAAAGCUCUGUUGUUAGGGAAGAACAAGUGCGAGAGUAACUGCUCGCACCUUGACGGUACCUAACCAGAAAGCCACGGCUAACUACGUGCCAGCAGCCGCGGUAAUACGUAGGUGGCAAGCGUUAUCCGGAAUUAUUGGGCGUAAAGCGCGCGCAGGUGGUUUCUUAAGUCUGAUGUGAAAGCCCACGGCUCAACCGUGGAGGGUCAUUGGAAACUGGGGAACUUGAGUGCAGAAGAGGAAAGUGGAAUUCCA
rnacentral:rRNA from 1 species